UACGGAGGGUGCAAGCGUUAUCCGGAUUCACUGGGUUUAAAGGGUGCGUAGGUGGGUUUGUAAGUCAGUGGUGAAAUCUCCAAGCUUAACUUGGAACUGCCGUUGAUACUAUAAAUCUUGAAUGUUGUGGAGGUGAGCGGAAUAUGUCUGUAGCGGUGAAAUGCUUAGAUAUGACAUAGAACACCAAUUGCGAAGGCAGCUA
rnacentral:rRNA from 1 species